rnacentral:tRNA from 1 species
UUUAUUUUUAGUAUAAUAAGUAUAGUAAAUUUAGGUUUUACUGGUGUAAAAAUAAAA